rnacentral:snRNA from 2 species
GAGCUGUGUGAUGAUGACAUAGCGAAUUAUUCUUUCGCCUUUUACUAAAGAAUACCAUGUCAACGUUACAUUUAACGGCACUAAUGCUAAUA